rnacentral:rRNA from 1 species
UACGUAGGUGGCAAGCGUUGUCCGGAAUUAUUGGGCGUAAAGCGUGCGCAGGCGGUUCGUUAUGUCCGAUGUGAAAGCCCCGAGCUCAACUUGGGGAAUGGCAUUGGAAACUGGCGGGCUGGAGUGUGGCAGAGGGGGGUGGAAUUCCACGUGUAGCAGUGAAAUGCGUAGAGAUGUGGAGGAACACCGAUGGCGAAGGCAGCCCCCUGGGCCAACACUGACGCCUCAGGCACGAAAGCGUGGGGAGCAAACAGG